AGCGAACGCUGGCGGCGGGCCUAACACAUGCAAGUCGAACGAACUCUUCGGAGUUAGUGGCGGACGGGUGAGUAACACGUGGGAACGUGCCUUUAGGUUCGGAAUAACUCAGGGAAACUUGUGCUAAUACCGAAUGUGCCCUUCGGGGGAAAGAUUUAUCGCCUUUAGAGCGGCCCGCGUCUGAUUAGCUAGUUGGUGAGGUAAAGGCUCACCAAGGCGACGAUCAGUAGCUGGUCUGAGAGGAUGAUCAGCCACAUUGGGACUGAGACACGGCCCAAACUCCUACAGGAGGCAGCAGUGGGGAAUCUUGCGCAAUGGGCGAAAGCCUGACGCAGCCAUGCCGCGUGAAUGAUGAAGGUCUUAGGAUUGUAAAAUUCUUUCACCGGGGACGAUAAUGACGGUACCCGGAGAAGAAGCCCCGGCUAACUUCGUG
rnacentral:rRNA from 1 species